UGAGAACUGCCUUCUUUUUGUUUGGUUCCUUUAAAAAAAUAUUUUUUUACUUAUUUAUUUGCUGUUCUGGGUCUUCAUUGCUGUGCUCGGACUUUCUCUCUCAUGGCUAUUUCCAGACAUUUCCUGUUAAGAAGAGUACUAUAAAUAUUCUUGUACAUAAAUUCCCAUUGUCCCUAUAUACCAAUUUGGAUAUAAACCUGGGAGUGGAAAGCCUUGUCAUAGGAUACAGAACAAACUGGCUUAUUCUAAAGCAAAAGCCCCAAGCAGAGUGAAAAUAAAGUUUCCAGCUGUACACACUGGAGUGACUUACCCUUCUGCGUGGAGCACACUGGUUCCCAAAUGUUGAUUCUCUGAUCCAGCUGCCAAAAACCAUACUUAACUGACUCCAACUCUGAAGGCGGUGUAACAUGCUGGUUCAUUAUAAGGAUCAGUUAUCAAGCUUCUAUUUUGAGUUCCAAAAGCUAAAUCCCAAAAUUGACUUCAAGCUACAGAAUGAAAGGUUGAGAAAAGUUCAACUUGGAGACAACAGACCAUCUUACUACUGUUCAUGAGAGAUUCCUGCACAAGUUGAUCAGGAAGGUAUCAAUUCUCCAUGGGCCUGGAAUCAGGGCAAGCAGCCUUGGAAAUUUCAGCUGACUCUCACCAGGAAGGACACAAGCACAGCAUUUGGGUAACACAUUUAGCAAACUGAUAGGGCACUGAUUAGAAGGCAAUAAACUCCCUUCGUUGUACUAGCCAGUGGGUUCAGACUGGUGAGGAGGUGGCCUUGAACCCUAUCCUUUGGAGAAGACCACAGUCUCAGGGGAAAAGUCUUUAAUUAUUUUUUUCUGAGGCUUUAAAUAAACUAAAUUCUAUGAGAAGACAUGCUCAAAAUCCAACCAGAGAGGCGCCUGUAAUCUGCAAGUUUUCAGACAUUUGUUCUGAGGUCGAAGAGCUGCAAAAAAGAAAGGUGUCAGUCUCGAUUUGAGCUUCCGUGUUUGUAAACUCAGCCAGUUCAUGCCUGGUUGGUUAUGUCCUCGGGUCUUCCCUCAUUCGUGGUGGUAACUGCCAAAUCCUGGGCCUCCCACAAAGAUGUGAGGCUUCUGGAGGACAUAAUAAAUUUAUAUAAGAUUUGAAGUUGAUAAAUCCUUAAGUGACCUCUUCUAAAUUCUCUUCAUCCACGAUCUCAUCAAUUUAGCCAAAGUUUUGUGGUCGUUUCCCUCAUGCCAACAAACCAGUCAUGCGUGGGGACAAACUGCAUCCCCUACCAACUCGAAACAGAACUUCUCAUUCACUCUGUACCUAAGUAUGAGUCCCUAGUCUGUCCCAGGUACUCGUCUAGGUCCUGGGGAAGCAGCAGUGUACGAACUGAGGCUUUAACCCCCAUGGAGCGUCCCUUCAAGUUUUAGUCAACAAUUCACUGUGGAGACCAGAGAGAAGCAGAACAUAUAUUGAGGGACUAGACAUAGUUUUAAAACACCAGAGAUGAUGUUUAAAUGACCUUCCUUCAGCAAAAUUCACCUAGAAGAUAAGGUCUUUCUCUAAGGACUUUCAGAAAGCCUCUUUCUGCAUCUUGUUCUUCUUAACAAGUUCAGUUAUUGGCCCAGAUAGGCCCCAGUGCAGCCUGGGAAAGGCAAACCAGAGGAAGACAUUAUAUUGACCCCAAAUCUUCAUUCUUAAGUUAGACAAGUAGAGAUGGAUUCAUGAUAAUAUAAUGCUGAGACCAACUAUGUGAUUAAAAUUUUCCCUCAGAGAAUCCUCAUUUUCAGAUUCUCUUCAUUAAUAGAUUUUCUACAGAGGAGGAAUUUUAGCUGCAGAAGUUGCCAAUAAGCAAGACAUUUCCCAGGGAGAGUUUUACAUGCGCCUUGUAAACACCAGGACUUGUUGAUGGGUAAGUCAUGAGAAAUCUGAAUCAGAGCAUCAAGAGUCCAGAUAAAAGUUUCCAGCUAGUUAGUGGCUAACCAUGCAAGUGGAGUAGAGAGAUCAGAUAAGAUAAAUCAUGGAAAGCACUUUUUGGACUUUAGCCAGAAGUUCGCUUAUGACAUAGGAAAGAAUAGUUUCAGCCAAGAGGUGGAGAAAAGGCCUGGAUGCUAUGAGUGGAGGGGGAAGCCGAUAAUGAGGCAGGCGGAGAGGGAGUAGACUCCAUGAAGCGUGACGGCACUCACCUCCUAAUUUAUGUCCUUGCUUCUCCUCCAUCCUGCACACCUACACACUUGCUUCUAAAAUGUACACACUCAGGCCCAUAAUCCUUCAAUAGCACCCUUAUAACCUGCACAAUAAAUGUCAAACUUAGCAUAGAACACCCCUUCCUAGCCUGAACCUGGCUUACAGUUAUUUACAUAACUGCCAGUCUUUGUCACUGGGUUAUUCUCUGACAGACUUGCCCCUUAAAGGAAUGCACCAUCUCUUAUUUGGCAAUUUACGUCUCCCUGCCUCUAUCCGUUACGAAACAGCACUCAACUCACAUGGUUGAGUGAAUGGAAAAAUAAGUAAGAGAUAGAAUGAAUGAAUGAAUGAUACCAGCACUGACUGCAAGAAUGGGUUUCCGUGUCCCAGUAUGGCAGGUGAACAUAAUCUUUGUGAAAUGAUUGUCUUUCUCUUGUAAACGCCUUGAUGAGUUGGAACUAAAAAUCUCUAUAAAUCCAACAUCCUGCUGUUGCUCAGUCAUUGUCAGAGUGUUUUAAUUGGGUGGUUGGAGUUACCUUGAUGUCUCCUUAUUAUAACUAGACAAGUUCAACUGACAUGAAGAUUUCUGAUUGGAAUAGGAUUCUCUCGGCGAUAUGACAAGUGUGUCUGGAAGCCCUACCGUUUAGCAUGACACCAAGACACAACACAUGCCCGGUUCUGUCAAACCUCCGAGUCGUGCUUGUGGAAUCAACGGAAUCACCGGGAUGAUAAUCGACUCUGCUCUGUGAUUCCCCUGUUGGCACAUUUAUUUUAGCUUUGCUGGCAGAGAGGGAGGCUUGCUCUACUAAUUCACUGUGACGUUGUUUUUUAAUUAGGUGUCUUGACACAGCAGGCAUUCCAGUCUUGAACAUUUCUUUUGUUUCUUUAAUGUGCCAGCAAGCUGUCUGACUUUUAGCUGCCUGAUCUUUCAGAAAGGUUACCUGCAGUGUAAAAUGAGAUACCAGACGUAAGGCACCUUGUCCAGUGUUUGGCACCUGAGGGGUCUCUGAGAAUGUUCAUUAUGUCUCCCUGUUCAUCUUUGCCUUCCGUCCUUCUGCUGCUUUUAGUUAACCUUGGAGAUGAAACGUUAACUGGGUAAGGCUUACAAUUUUCUUCAUCCCAGAAGAGAGUCCAGUAAAUCUACAAACUGAGACUGCAUAGAUUCUGUAAAUAAAAUGGCCAC
ensembl:lncRNA